rnacentral:rRNA from 1 species
AUGUCGAACACAGGCAAGGAGAUCAUGACGGCGGCAGCGGGAGCACCGAUGCCGAUGAUGGGGGGAUCACAAUUCCCUCGUCUGGAUCGAGAGGACUACGCACUAUGGGCGAUGAACAUGGAGGUCGCGAUGGAGGGAGCUGACUUCUGGGAAGCCGUGGAACUCGGCGGUGCCAAGUACGCGAAGGGCGCGGCAAAGUACCGGAAGGAUCGUCAAGCGUUAACGGCGAUCUACUCCGCCAUGCCGAAGGAUGUGCUGCAACACCUCGUCGGAAAGAACUUGGCGAAGGAGGCAUGGGAGACCAUCAAGAUCCUGCACUAG